AUUCAUUAGGCUCUACCGCUGCACCCUGUACACGAUACAGAUGUAGGAUCUUAAUUUGAUCAGGCUUUUGUUGCUGAGAAUUGACCUGCAUAGCAGGAAAUGCAAACACCCAGUGUAUUCAAGGUUCCAGUUCCACUUUAAAUGUCUGACUUGAUUUCCCCUAAUGAAAAAUGUAUCAAACCCUACAAAAAAAGUCCAUUAAUUAUAAUCCACCUAAUAUUACACAUUUCCUAUUGCUGCAGGUUUAUUUUCCUGCUGAAGCAAACUGGCUCAAAUUAAGAUCCCACUUCUGUACUAGGCAAACAGUAAGUUGGUUACAAGAGAGGAGUGAGUCCGUGUGUGUUUUUGUGUGUGUCUGGUCACAGGAUCUGUGUUUGAUAAGGGCUCAGCUGGGAACAAUGACAUGCUGCAGGACACACACACACACACACACACACACACACACACACACACACACACACACACACACACACACACACACACACACACACACACCCAAAAAGCACAAGCGCGUACACACACCCAAACAAGCACAAGCGCGUAUACACACCCAAACAAGCACAAGCGCGUACACACACCCAAACAAGCACAAGCACGUACACACACCCAAACAAGCACAAGCGCGUACACACACACACUCUAAGGGAUAAAGUAGCAGCUUCAUUUGCACAGUUAGACAGAGCGAGAGAGGAGGUAACAGGGUGAGAUAGAGAGGCAAAGAAAUAAAGAGAGAGAGGGAGAGAGAGAGACAGAGAGACAGAGAGACAGACAGAGAAAUAAAGAGAGAAAUAUGAACUCUAGUCAUUCAUUCUGAAAGUCAUGACCUUGUCUUAACGAAGAGCAACAACAAAGCGACCCCAGACUUCAGCUAACAGGAAUAUAGUUCCUCCUGUACUUGGUUAUAUUACUGAGCUACGCUGCACACGCGUUAUUACAAGGUAACUAUAAAGGGAAUAACAUAUUUGUUUUAAUAAUUAACCACUAGUAGUACCGUAUUUAUACCCAUGUAUGUUGCCCAAUUAGGUUUGCAAAGGGAGGGUAUAUUACUGGAAACGUUUCAGGUAAACUACCAGAACUUUAACUGAAUACAUUUUUUUUAAAAGUUAUUCAAGUAUAAGUAUAAAUUCAAGUAUAAAUUACCACCUGUUUAUUACCUGUUUAUUUCUGGGAAAGUCACACCUAGACAGACGGGGUUGUGAAGAUAUCAGUAUGCAUGGGCACGCACACACACACAGACACACAGACACACACACACACACACACACGCACACACACACACAGACACACACACACACACAGAGAGAUGCCUGCACACGCACACACACAGACACACACACACACACACACACACACACACACACACACACACACACACAGAGAGAUGCCUGCACACACACACACACAUACAGAUGCCUGCACACACGAGAUGCCUGCACACACACACACACACGCACACACACUGAUGCCUGCACACACACACACACACACACACACACAGAGAGAUGCCUGCACACACACACACACACAUACAGAUGCCUGCACACACGAGAUGCCUGCACACACACACACACACACGCACACACAC
ensembl:lncRNA